UUACUGACUCAUCAAAUUUAUUUUACUUGCUUGACUUCGUGUGGAAUUGGUUUGAAAAAUAAAAAUCAUUAUUGGUGUAACCUUCGAAGAAAUAAGGUGUUUAAAGUGUUUUAUUUGAACGGAAGAAAGUUUGAGCAACAUAACUCGGGCGAGCGGUUUAUUGAAUAUUUCAACGAUAAGGUGGUAUUGGCAAAACAACUAUAGCUGGGAGAAGAGGAGUUGGUCGAAUACAUAAUCGACGGCAUACCUGAUUAUUGGCUACGCAACCAAGCGUAUAUGCAGUGCUACACAACAAAGGCACAAUCACUCCAAGCAUUUUCCAAAAUUGAAACUGGGCCAAAACCGAUUGCGCCGGCUCAGUCGCAGAUUCAAGAAAGAAGAUGUUACAACUGCAGCAGUCUCGGACACCUAGCAGCAGAAUGCCGUAAACCAAAGCGAGAGAUGGGUACGUGUUAUGGGUGUGGCAGUCGAAAUCAUCAAAUUGCAACAUGUCCAGAGAAGAAAACUGUCCACGCAGUUAAUGAAUAUAAUGUCUGAUCGACUCGGGUAUCCCAAUCAGCUUCAUAAAAAAAUCUUGCGUUGCAGAAAAUUUCAAAUUGGAGUUUUUAUCAAAUGUGAAUUCUUUUUAUUUUGGUUUAAAUAAUACGAGAAUUGUAACUUAUGGAAAGUUUUUGUGUUGUAUUAAAAUAAAUAAUGAAUUAUUUGAAUUAAA